CUGAACCAGCCAAGUAGCGUGAAGGAUGACUGCCCUAUGGGUUGUGAACUUCUUUUAUACGGGAAUAAAGUGAGGCACGUGUGCCUUUUUGUAUGUACCGUAUGAAUAAGGAUCGGCUAACUCCGUGUCAGCAGCCGCGGUAAUACGGAGGAUCCGAGCGUUAUCCGGAUUUAUUGGGUUUAAAGGGAGCGUAGGCGGACGCUUAAGUCAGUUGUGAAAGUUUGCGG
rnacentral:rRNA from 1 species